rnacentral:rRNA from 1 species
UACAGAGGUGGCAAGCGUUGUUCGGAAUUACUGGGCGUAAAGGGCGCGUAGGCGGCCUUGUAAGUCCUGUGUGAAAUCCCCUGGCUCAACUAGGGAACUGCACAGGAGACUGCUUGGCUUGAGUUCGGGAGAGGGAAGCGGAAUUCCGGGUGUAGCGGUGAAAUGCGUAGAUAUCCGGAGGAACACCGGUGGCGAAGGCGGCUUCCUGGACCGACACUGACGCUGAGGCGCGAAAGCCAGGGGAGCAAACGGG